AUAGCAGUUUGGGUACUGCAGAUGUAGCUGCGGGGUCGCAUGUGGGCAGGUAGGUGGCAGAGAGGAGAGAGGUCAUAUCUAUGCUCAGUGUGAGCCUGUGAACAUCUGAGUGAUUGAUUGGUAGCCUAACACU